UCGACCUGAGCUCAAGCAAGACCACCCGCUGAACUUAAGCAUAUCAAUA
rnacentral:rRNA from 1 species